rnacentral:rRNA from 1 species
UACGAAGGGGGCUAGCGUUGCUCGGAAUCACUGGGCGUAAAGGGUGCGUAGGCGGGUUUUUAAGUCAGAGGUGAAAUCCUGGAGCUCAACUCCAGAACUGCCUUUGAUACUGAAAGUCUUGAGUAUGGGAGAGGUGAGUGGAACUGGCGAGUGUAGAGGUGAAAUUCGUAGAUAUUCGCAAGAACACCAGUGGCGAAGGCGGCUCACUGGCCCAUUACUGACGGCUGAGGCACGAAAGCGUGGGGAGCAAACAGG